CUAGCAUAGCUGAUUAGCCUGCCACUACGCGGCAUAUAUCCAUCGCGAUUUCGCCGUUUUCUGAACCGGGGCAGAUGGCACAAGUGCUGUAACGAAUGGCGGAUGUCGAGGGGCAAGCGUUAUGUCCAUCGCCGCCUCAGCAUUCAGCGUGUAACGGCUCCGGGAGCGGCGACGUCACGCCGCCGGACGCAGGCGCCGGCUGCGGCAUCCAGAGACCGAGCACCACCGUGACGGGUCAUCCGAAUAGUCAAAUCAAACUCGGGUUAUGGCUUAAAAAUAGUGAUACCAUCACCCCACUUAGUUGCUUGGUGUGUGCCUUGAAGAACUAGAACCAGGUUAUUGCCUUUGAGUGGAAGGAGAUGGUGAGGUGGGACACCGACGAAGAGGGCAUGGCCUUUUGCUUCAAGUACGCACGAGAGGAGAAGAAACCACGCUGGGUCAAGAUAUUCACACCUUACGUGAGAAAACACUGCACACAACCGGAAAAGAAGAUACGGCAAGAAGCAGCCGUUGAUUUUUAUACAGAACAGCAAGCGAAGCGGGAUAUUGCUGCAACUGUGCGCCUUUGCAGCCAUUGACACAGCAUCACGCAAUCACAUAAUGCGUGAUGACAUCUGCAUCUCCAGUACUGCAAAUAUUUCCCCCAUUCCGUGUCAGUGCCGUUUUUUUCACGCCCGCGACCCUAGUGAGGGUCAGCGGUACAGAAAAUGGAUGGAUGCAUGGAUGGAACGUGGCAAAUGAAAGGAUAAGAGAAAACUAAUCUUGUUUGGGAAAGGUUGUUGUGUACAGUGGUGCCUUAACUUAUGUGUGGCGUGUUCCGUGACAACCCUCGUAAGUCAAAACACUCGCAUCUCAAAUCAUCUUUCCCCAUUGAAAUGAAUAGUGUUAAUCUGUUCCAGGACCACAUUGUGCUUCCUCUGGUGUGUGUGCUUUGGUCUCCAGGGGGCAGUAAAAUACUGAGAUAGAGAAACACACGAAGAAGUGGUUUACAUCUGACUCAGUAAGCUGCAAUUUAAUAAUAUUAGUUGUUUUACGUGGAGGAUAAAAAAAUAUAUUCCUGUCAGUAUUGUUAUGUCGUCUGUCUCCAUGUGUUGCUUCUCCAUUUGUGUUCAAAUAUCAGUCGCUUAAAGGUUUAUACGACCACGACACCAACGCUAUUCGUUAACCCACUUAUGGUGGUUCGUAUAGUGGGUUAUCUAUCAUUAAGCUAGCAGAUUCUUAAGGCAAAGUCGUGUGGUUCUUUUAUCAAUGAUUUUUUUUUUGUUAUAUAAUUUAUAUUGAACUAAGCAGAAAAAGCCAACAAACAAAGGGAGGACAUGAUGAGCUCCUUCCCUGUGUCCUAGGCAGUCUCCUAGCCCUUGUCGUCCAUCUUGCUUUCACUUUCGGAGGUGGUGCAGUUUCUGCUUCAGUCUUAAGUACUUCAUUUUGAAGUUAUCUUUUUUCAUUUGCAGUUGCUUUAGUUGCUUCUUGAGAUGAUCCAUCUCCACUGUCAGCAUCUCUGCAUCUUCCUUGUUCUUCUUGAUGGCAUCCUGGCACGUCAUUGCGAUUUCGUCAUCUGUAUUCAACUCUUUUGCAUUGUCUGGCUUGGGAGACGGUGCUGCACCCCCCCUCUGUCAUCUUUGCCUUCCUUUUUGCCCUCCUUUUUGACCCACGUGCCAUGCUCACCGGAGAGGCUUGGCGUUCUCUGCGUUCGCUGCUGGUCCCGGCCACUUCUUUAUCGCUCAUGUUUCCCUUUUCCUCUCAGUCCUGAGUACCUGAUGUGCUAAUCAACGUUGUCUGGUUCUUUUAAAUACACAAUGUAGUACACAACUGGUAGUAUACAACUGGCCGUGGCAAUAAACUGUCUGAAGCCUCUUUUUUGAAGUAUUGUUCACUCUAUGGGCCAUAUUCUCGUGUUACUAUGUGUCUUUUUUUUUUAAGUGACUGGCCGAUUCUCCUGUAAUGACUUCUGAUGUGUUUGCAACAAUUUAAGAGGCGUGACUCAUUGAAGUCUAAGGCUGGCUGUAAUUCUCGGAAAGGGGAAUUUUCCUGAGACAUGAGAAUGCUGUAGAUAUCCAUUUGAAAAAUAUGUCACACUUUAAAUGUGAAAUUAGCUUCUGUCGCGGAUACGGACGUUAUACUAAUAGUCACCAGUCAGACGUUUGCACUGCUCAUUUGACAGGUUACUUUGAAGGAGCAUGCAUUUUUGUGUUCUGUAUUAAAUAAAGGCAAAUCCAAAUAAUUUAAUCAGUACAGUACACUGCUCAUGACUGAAUGCAUGUUUGGAGCCAAUCCAUCAAUAGCGUUUCCCAGCCACUGCUUGCGCCACACAUGCGGGCAAGUCAAACAGAUUUCAUGAUUUACAAUAACAUAGUAUUGUAAAUCAAAUCAAUGUGCUCCUAUUUGCCAAACUGAUGCUUCUUCGUGAAGUGAGUUGACUUUGUUGCCAGCAUGUUGUGCUUGUAUGUUGAAUUUUUGCUCGCAAGUCAAAGCAAAAAAUCGGCCAAACGACAGUUUGUACCUCAAAAAACCCGGAAAUCAGACUCACUCGUCAGUCAAGGCACCACUGUAUAUGCAAGACAGCUCAUCUCUUAUGGUGUGAUGCAUUAUCCACAAGUAUUACCGGAUACCAUCUGCUGAGGUUACAGAAAGUAAACCCCUGUCAAAAUAGCACUUUCUUCUUCUGAAAACAGGACACCACAAUAAACCAUUUCAAAAUGUCUUUUCUGAAUAUGGGCUGAUCUCUAACCUGUAUAAAGAAGCAAUCUUUGAGGGAGUAAGCCCAGUUCAGUAAGUUGGUUGCAAAUAGGUUAAGUUUAGAACAAAACAAUUGCUGAAGCACCUUUUGCUUUAGUGGGCGAAUUCUGUCAUAUUUGGGUAGGGGUGUAUCAAGAGGUGCGCCAAAUGUUUCAGAUUGAGAAGACACUCCACGCAUCAACUUUUCAAUUGGAUCUAGGUCAGAACCUUUUGGCGACUGAAAUAUAUUUAUAUAUUUUACCUGUAUUUUAACAGGGUGUUUUCACUUUAUUUCUCCAUAGUAUGAUGCACUGUAGUUAAAAUUUGUGACUGACUGGUUAAUAAACCACUGUGUAUUCAA